rnacentral:rRNA from 1 species
UCCGCCCGGGUACUACGAGCUUAGCUUAAAACCCAAAGGACUUGGCGGUGCCCUAUUCCAUCUAGAGGAGCCUGUUCUUUAAUCGAUAAUCCACGAUUCACCUUACCAUUUCUUGCCAAACAGCCUAUAUACCGCCGUCGUAAACUUACCCUUUGAAGGAAUCAUAGAAAGUUUAAAGGUACCCGCCAAAACGUCAGGUCCACGUGUAGCAAAUGAAAUGGGAAGAAAUGGGCUACAUUUUCUAUAAUAGACCAAACGGAUAAUCAAUAUGAAAUCUGAUCAUGAAGGAGGAUUUAGUAGUAAAAAGAAAUCAUCAUAUUCUUUUUAACAUGGCCCUGGGGCGCGCACACACCGCCCGUCACCCUCUUCGACUAUAAUCAAUUUUAUACUUAAUAAACUAUUUUAAAACUAGAAGAGGUAAGUCGUAACAUGGUAAGUAUACCGGAAGGUGUACUUGGA